GUCCUGGGUUCAGCAGUAGCAGUCAUUUUUUUCUCCUUCUUAGUAGCUGGUGCAGCGCUGUGUUUUUGACUUUUGGCCUGGGAACAGUGCUGAUAACACUGAUGUUUUUAGUUACUGCUCAAAUGUUUACUCUGACCAAGGACUUUCUGAGCCCCAUGCUCUGCCAGGGAGGAGGGGAAGCCGGGAGGAAGCAGAGACAGGACACCUGACCCAAAGUGACCAAAGAGGGAAAAGAUGUGAAUGUUUGUGAUCUCCUGCACCAUGGGUAUUUCUGCAUAACUUAGUUCUCAGAAUGAUAAACAGGCAACAUGAUCACUUAAACAGUUUUGCUGAUCGUCAAAGGUAAAAUGUUUCAUACAGGUUGAAAGAAAGUUACCUGGAAUACAG